GGAGAGGUGGCGGAAUUGGUAGACGCGCUACUUUGAGGUGGUAGUGCCGCGAGGCGUGGGAGUUCGAGUCUCCUCCUCUUCA
rnacentral:tRNA from 1 species